rnacentral:rRNA from 1 species
UACGAAGGGGGCUAGCGUUGUUCGGAAUCACUGGGCGUAAAGGGCGCGUAGGCGGCCGAUCAAGUCGGGGGUGAAAGCCUGUGGCUCAACCACAGAAUUGCCUUCGAUACUGUUUGGCUUGAGACCGGAAGAGGUUAGUGGAACUGCGAGUGUAGAGGUGAAAUUCGUAGAUAUUCGCAAGAACACCAGUGGCGAAGGCGGCUCACUGGCCCGAUACUGACGCUGAGGCACGAAAGCGUGGGGAGCAAACAGGG